UACGUAGGGACCGAGCGUUGUCCGGAAUCAUUGGGCGUAAAGAGCGUGUAGGCGGCCACUUAAGUCCUGCGUGAAAUCUUGCGGCUCAACCGCAAGCGGUCGUGGGAAACUGGGUGGCUAGAGUGCGGGAGAGGAGAGUGGAAUUCCUGGUGUAGCGGUGGAAUGCGCAGAUAUCAGGAAGAACACCCGUGGCGAAGGCGGCUCUCUGGAACGCAACUGACGCUGAGGCGCGAAAGCUAGGGGAGCAAACAGG
rnacentral:rRNA from 1 species